UUGUCUCUGUUUCUUCUACCAACAGAUAGACAACAACGCUUCCCUUUCCUGAAUCCCUGUAGUUGACACUACAGAGAAAGAGAACCACCAAAAAGAUGAGGAGUCACAUAACGAGAGCUCUCCUUUGUGUCAUGAUUCUACGAAUAUCUGAGGUUCACUCGCUAUCAUUUCCUUGCGAUAAGAAAGUCGCUUUGGUAGCAGCUGCGGGCAUGCUGUCAGCUCUUCUCAUCGUCACAAUCAUCACCAUAAUAGUCAUCCAGUGCAAGAGAAGACAGAGUAAGCACAAAGGCUCUCCAAACCUCUCCAGGCAGCGAGUCAGACCCGUCGUAUGUGAUGCUACACUUGGGUCCCAGGAACACGGACGUCAUCCGGCAAAUGAUAAUAUGGUUAUUGGCCAGUACGACAGUGAGGACCCCUACGAAUAUGUCCAGCCGGAGGACUGGUAUCAUUACCCCCCAGCAGGAUGACGCCAGAGCACCCGAUGUCGAGUUUGGAACAUUCUUGCCAAGAAAUCCCGCCGUCGGCUGCGUCGAGACUAUCAAUGAUAUUUAUGAAAAUUUAGACAGCUUUGAAACUACCAGUGAUAUUUACUAAUCGGGAAACAUCUUCCAGCGGUAGUAAAUACAUUAGGAUGUGUUUAAGUCCCAACUCAUUAUCAAGAAGCCUUAUUGUACCGUACCUAGAGACUAUCAUUUUUUUCCUUUUUCUUUUUUUAGCUUUAAUGAGGUGGUAACAGAAUUAUCACUGACGACGUCUGCUGCCCAUGACUUCUAACAUUCUUCAGCGAUCUUUGUACGUCGAUUAAUAGCUAUUUAUUUGAUUUAAUUGUAACUUUUUCCAUGUAAUUGCAGUCUGAAAAUAUAUGGAUAUAGAUAGCAUAGCAUUGAAAAGAGUGAUACCUCCAUUUGCAAAACUUCAUCUUUUUUAAAACAAAAGUUUUCCCAAACGAAAAUUGCUUUGGAUUAUAGCUCUGAAUUGCAUCACUCAUUGCCGUACGAUGUUUGUUCAAAAAAUAAGAUAAAGUUUUUUGAAACACAUUGUGUUUUGGAUUUAACUCAUUGCAGUACUCAUUCUCUUAUGAAGUUAUUUAAAACAAAAUAGUCAUUGUAGAACAUGACCUUCUCUUUACUGUCAAACUUCCAAGAAGAAGAAAGUAAACAUUAGACAACAUCAAGGGAGCCAUUUGUUGCUGGGACGAAAGGAGAGCUACUACUGUUAUUGAGCAACGUUCACCGACAGAUAACGACUGUAAUUAGUCGUAAUUAAUUACUAGUGUGUUAUGCAAGUCAAUAUCAAGAUGAGUUCCGUAGCAGGAGCAGCGUGGAAGCUCAUGGUGCUCCUCAACCUGCCAUUGCUGGUGCCGUACCAAGUCCAGCUGCCCCUAAACCAUCUGCUGCUGCAGCUAUACAAACUGCACCUGUUUUAGAAGAAUGGCAGACUCCUCUGAAGUAUCGCCGACGACCAA